rnacentral:lncRNA from 1 species
CGUUUGCAGGUUUAAGAACGCGCCUGGAAAUUACAUCAACAGUUUCGAGUUGUCUGCUUGUAACUUGUCAGUUUGUUUUUUUCCAAAAGUCAGACAAGAGUUAAUUGCUGGUUAAUUGAGUCUCAAAAGUGAAAAUAGGCGUUGUUUGUGAAAAAUAUUUUGUCUUGGAAUCAAAUUGUUGGUAGACCCAAAUUGUUACACCAGUUAAAGGAAACAGGAGUUUCAUCAGAAGAGAUUCAGCAUCAUCAGUACUACAACCAGGUGGUUUUGGAUGUCAAACAAAUUUUAAAAUGCUUCCCUCCAGGUAUUAAUGAAAAUAUUCAAGCAGACCUCCAAGUAAAAGUCACAGAGCUGAUAAUAAGAGUUCUGAUAGCAAAUGAAGGUCUCCAUUACUAUCAGGGUUUUCACGAUAUUGCCAUCACACUGUUGCUUGAAUUAGGAGAAGAGAAAAGUUACAGUGUGUUAUGCAGACUUUCCCAAUCACAUUUCCAACUGUUUAUGGGACCAGAUAUGGAGCCUAUCUACAAUGGAAAUUCUUAACUUAGUGUAUGCACUAGUCAAAAAUGAAAAUCGUGAUUUGUACAAUUAUUUGAUGAGGUAUUUGAAACACCUCUCCCCCCCCCCCACCCCUAAAAAAAAGAGAGAAAGCUAGAUUCUCUAUAUUUCAAGAGAGCAUUCCUAUAUUUCAAAUUUUAUGAAUGUGAAGAAUGUAAUUAAAUAAACUGGUUUUGUAUUCAUUA